GUAGGGAAUCUUCCACAAUGGACGAAAGUCUGAUGGAGCAACGCCGCGUGAGUGAAGAAGGUCUUCGGAUCGUAAAACUCUGUUGUUAGAGAAGAACGUGCAUGAUAGUAACUGAUCAUGUAAUGACGGUAUCUAACCAGAAAGCCACGGCUAACUACGUGCCAGCAGCCGCGGUAAUACGUAGGUGGCAAGCGUUGUCCGGAUUUAUCGGGCGUAAAGGGAACGCAGGGGGUUGUUUAAGUCGGAUGUGAAAGCCUUCGGCUUAACCGAAGAAUAGCAUUGGAAACUGGAAGACUGGAGUGCAGAAGAGGAGAGUGGAAUUCCAUGUGUAGCGGUGAAAUGCGUAGAUAUAUGGAGGAACACCAGUGGCGAAAGCGGCUCUCUGGUCUGUAACUGACGCUGAGGUUCGAAAGCGUGGGUAGCAAACAGGAUUAGAAACCCGUGUAGUCC
rnacentral:rRNA from 1 species